rnacentral:rRNA from 1 species
GGAGUGACGUUUGSGGAUCGAGUUGCGGAUGGGUGAGUAACACGUGGGCAACCUGCCUAUAAGACUGGGAUAACUUACGGAAACGUGAGCUAAUACCGGAUGAAACCUYUURUCACCUGGUAAGAGGAUGAAAGAUGGCUUUUAGCUAUCACUUAUAGAUGGGCCCGCGGCGCAUUAGCUAGUUGGUGAGAUAAAAGCUCACCAAGGCAACGAUGCGUAGCCRACCUGAGAGGGUGAUCGGCCACACUGGGACUGAGACACGGCCCAGACUCCUACGGGAGGCAGCAGUAGGGAAUCUUCCGCAAUGGACGAAAGUCUGACGGAGCAACGCCGCGUGAACGAAGAAGGUUCUCGGAUCGUAAAGUUCUGUUGUUAGGGAAGAACACGUACCAUUCGAAUAGGGUGGUACCUUGACGGUACCUAACGAGAAAGCCCCGGCUAACUACGUGCCAGCAGCCGCGGUAAUACGUAGGGGGCAAGCGUUGUCCGGAAUUAUUGGGCGUAAAGCGCUCGCAGGCGGUUUUUUAAGUCUGAUGUGAAAUCUUGCGGCUCAACCGCAAGCGGUCAUUGGAAACUGGAGAACUUGAGGACAGAAGAGGAGAGUGGAAUUCCACGUGUAGCGGUGAAAUGCGUAGAGAUGUGGAGGAACACCAGUGGCGAAGGCGACUCUCUGGUCUGUAACUGACGCUGAGGAGCGAAAGCGUGGGUAGCGAACAGGAUUAGAUACCCUGGUAGUCCACGCCGUAACGAUGAGUGCUAGGUGUUAGGGGGUUUCCGCCCCCUUAGUGCUGGCGUUAACGCAUUAAGCACUCCGCCUGGGGAGUACGGCCGCAAGG